rnacentral:rRNA from 1 species
UAGCAUAUCAAUAAGCGGAGGAAAAGAAACUAACAAGGAUUCCCCUAGUAACUGCGAGUGAAGCGGGAAAAGCUCAAAUUUAAAAUCUGGCGGUCUUUGGCUGUCCGAGUUGUAGUCUGGAGAAGUGCUUUCCGCGCUGGACCGUGUACAAGUCUCUUGGAACAGAGCGUCAUAGAGGGUGAGAAUCCCGUCUUUGACACGGACUACCAGUGCUUUGUGAUGCGCUCUCAAAGAGUCGAGUUGUUUGGGAAUGCAGCUCAAAAUGGGUGGUAAAUUCCAUCUAAAGCUAAAUAUUGGCGAGAGACCGAUAGCGAACAAGUACCGUGAGGGAAAGAUGAAAAGCACUUUGGAAAGAGAGUUAAACAGUACGUGAAAUUGCUGAAAGGGAAACGCUUGAAGUCAGUCGCGUUGGCCAGGACUCAGCCUUGCUUUUGCUUGGUGCAUUUUCUGGUUGACGGGCCAGCAUCGAUUUUGAUUGCCGGAAAAAGGCUGGGGGAAUGUGGCACCUUUUGGGUGUGUUAUAGCCUUCAGUCACAUACGGCGGUUGGGAUCGAGGACCGCAGCACGCCUUUAUGGCCGGGGUUCGCCCACGUUCGUGCUUAGGAUGCUGGCGUAAUGGCUUUAAACGACCCGUCUUGAAACACGGACCAAGGAGUCUAACAUGCCUGCGAGUGUUUGGGUGGUAAACCCGAGCGCGUAAUGAAAGUGAAAGUUGAGAUCCUUGUCAUGGGGAGCAUCGACGCCCGGACCUGAACUUCGGUGAUGGCUCUGCGGUAGAGCAUGUAUGUUGGGACCCGAAAGAUGGUGAACUAUGCCUGAAUAGGGUGAAGCCAGAGGAAACUCUGGUGGAGGCUCGUAGCGAUUCUGACGUGCAAAUCGAUCGUCAAAUUUGGGUAUAGGGGCGAAAGACUAAUCGAACCAUCUAGUAGCUGGUUCUGCGUCUCCCCCCCCCAAAAAAAAAA